rnacentral:tRNA from 1 species
CAUAGAGUGCCUGAACAAUAGGAUUAUUUUGAUAGAAUAAAAUAUACAGGCCCCCCCUGUCUCUAUGA